CUUUCAUACGAGAAAAGAAGGUGAGAUAUAACCCUAAGUGCCGGAGAUCCCUCAGCCGGUGGCCAUGGACGACCCUAAAACCCGCGAUCUCGUCAAGGAGCUCGUUCUCCGCCUCGUAUCUCCCGUCGACUCCCCCUCCUCCGCCGCCGAAGAGGUCCCCCGCGCUAUCGGCUUCGCCCAUCGGCUCCUCUCCAGCCGCAUGGCUCCCUCCCUCGCCCCCGAUGAGCUCGCCAUAGCCGAGUCCAUCAAGCGCCAUCUCGCGGCUUCCGGCCGAUCCUCCGAUGCCCUCGCCUUCGCCGACCUUCACACCGAGCUCUCCGCCCGUUCCUCCGGCCCCGGUGCCAUCCGCAACCGUUGGGCCCUCCUCUACCUCCUCAAGUCUCUCUCCGAUGCCCGCCGACGCGAGCCCCUCCUCCAUUCUACGGGGACUGCCGGCCUGCCCGCUCUUCCCCUCGACCCUCAGCCAAGCCACCAACUGCCUUUGGCGGCCAAGAAAAUUCUACCCCCAUCCGGCGGCGUUCUCCUCGUCUCCAAGGAUCCAGAGAACAUUCGUGAGAUCGCACUUCAAAAGUAUGCGGAUCUGGUCAUGGACGAGACAGAGGUUUCGGAAUCGGCCCUCGUGAGGGAUAUCCUCUUUGUUUGCCAGGGAAUCAACGGGCGGUAUGUGAGGUUCGACAAGGCAUCAGACUGCUAUGAUCUUCCGGAGUCGUUGAAGUUGCCAAGAUCCAUGAGGACGAUGGUUCGUAAGCUUUGUGAACUAGGAUGGCUUUUCCAAAAGGUAAGGUGUUACAUCACUGAGAGCAUGAGCUGCUUCCCGGCUGAGGAGGUUGGUACAGUUGGACAGGCCUUCUGCUCUGCUCUCCAGGAUGAGCUUUCCGACUAUUACAAGCUUUUGGCAGUGCUUGAAUCCCAUUCCUCGAAUCCAAUUCCCACUCCAGGCUCCAUUUCUGGAGUGCCUGGGAAUUACCUUACUUUGAGACGGCUUGCGGUCUGGCUUGCCGAACCGACGGUUAAAAUGCGAUUGAUGGCAGUUCUGGUGGAUGGGUGUCGAGGUCUGAGAGGUGGAGCAAUGGCUGGAGCAAUACAUGGGCGGGCACAGCAUGGGGAUCCAUUGGUACAGGAGUUCAUGGGCCGGCUUCUCCGAAGGGUCUGCUCGCCUUUGUUUGAGAUGGUCCGGAGUUGGGUCUCGGAAGGGGAAUUGGAGGAUACUUUUGCUGAGUUCUUCAUACAAAGCCAAACUGUAAAGGCUGAGUCGUUAUGGCAAGAAGGCUAUCAAAUCCAGUCUGCAAUGCUGCCUUCUUUCAUUUCUCCUGCUUUGGCACAAAGGAUCUUGAGGACAGGAAAGUCCAUCAAUUUCCUCAGAGUUUGCUGUGAGGACAAUGGUUGGGCUGAUGCUGCCGCCAAAGCAGCAGCUGAUGUCGGGACCACUACAAGAAGGGGUGGGAUUGUGUAUGGGGAGACACAUGCUCUGGAAGGACUUGUUAUAGAGGCAGCUAAGAGGAUUGAUCGUCAUUUGAUGGAUGUGAUUCACAGGCGGUAUCGGUUCAAGGACCAUUGCUUGGCAAUCAAACGAUACUUGCUUCUUGGCCAGGGUGACUUUGUGCAGUACUUGAUGGAUGUUGUGGGCCCAGAGCUAUCAGAGCCUGCCAACACAAUCAGCUCAUUCCAGUUGGCAGGGUUGCUAGAGACUGCAAUCCGUGCAUCCAACUCCCAGUAUGAUGAUCGUGAUAUUCUAGAUCGUUUAAAGGUAAAGAUGAUGGAUCAUGGUGAUGGUGACAGAGGAUGGGAUGUGUUCUCAUUGGAGUAUGAUGCAAGGGUGCCUCUGGACACAGUUUUUACAGCAUCUGUCAUGAAGAAAUACCUCAAGAUUUUCAAUUUUUUGUGGAAGCUAAAACGUGUUGAACAUGCAUUGAUCGGGGUAUGGAAGAUGAUGAAACCAAAUUCUAUAAUUUCUUGUAUUUUCACCAAAGAAGGUGUGGCAGUUAAAACACAGUUUGUCUCUGUUCUACGAAGAUGCCAAGUAUUGUGGAAUGAGAUGAACCAUUUUGUGACAAACUUUCAGUACUAUAUAAUGUUUGAGGUCCUUGAGGUUUCAUGGUCACAGUUCUCAGAAGAAAUGAAUGCUGCAAAAGAUUUAGAUGAUCUGCUUGCAGCUCAUGAGAAGUAUCUCAACUCAAUUGUCGAGAAGUCUCUUCUAGGAGAGCGAUCUCAAGGUCUUAUUAGGAUUCUCUUUGUUCUAUUUGAUCUUAUAUUGCGGCUUCGGAGCCAUGCAGAGAGGUGGUUCGAGCAUAUAUUUGAGUUGCAAGUCAGAGGGAGGAGCAAAUCAAGGAUAAAAAUGAUGGGGGCAGGUCCAUGGUUUGUUGGGGAUAGGAAGGCCAUGAUGCAACUUGCUGGUGAAUUUCUUGGGAGAAUGGGUGAAGACUUGGACAAGAUUGCAAAAGAGUAUUCUGCAUCACUUGAUGAUUUUAUCUCUCAGUUGCCCAUUCAGCAACAUGUCGAUUUGAAGUUUCUCCUCUUUCGUUUGGACUUUACCGAAUAUUAUAGUCGGCUUGUGCCUAGUAAGUAGAAUUCAGCAUAUGACAGAAGAAGCAAUGUAAAAGCAGUGAUCUGUCAGUUGUGCUUGUUGUAUUGUUUGCAACAUAAGUUCACUGGCCAUUUUGGAGUGUUGAUUAUGUAUUAAUUUCAACAACACAAAAGGAUGCAGGUAUGUUUCAUAAUGAGACAGCAAGGAUCGCUAUGUCUUAAAUUUCAAGUGGUUUCUCCCGUGUAAGCUCUCGGUCGUGAACAGGUAAUCAAAGCAGGCUCUUAAGAACACCUACAAGAGCUGAAAACAAUGAUCUAUAGUUCAUUUGUCUUGUCAAAACUUAGCUUGUACAUUCCUUUUUUGUCAUUUCUUUUAAAUUUGACAUUUAUAUCAACACUGAUUCUUAUGAAUUGUCAUUUCUUUUUUUGUCAAUUGAACUUUCUUAUUGUGUAAAGGCCUCCUAUAGAACAUUCCAGGCACAAGCAGGUGUGGUUAAGCCAAGGACAAGGCCGAGAACCUCGAAUCUUAGGGCUCUAAUCAGUCGACCUUCGAGGGACAACUCAAGUGUCUCCAAGUAAUGUAGGAUGGAUCAAGGUUUUACUUUGCUGAAAGCUGCAAAAGUAAGUGGUUUUUCAUUGUCAUUGUCCUUACUCCAUUGAGGAAAGCUUGCGUGUCUUCACUCUAGAUCAACUCAAAAACUUUUCUUCGAGAAAUGUGGUUAUUUUGUGUAGGAAAAUGGAGGUUCGAUAUCGUAGGUUGUGAAGCUUGUGUUUGAUAAUGAAUUAUAUAUUGUGCUGGCGAUGGUUAC